UCAGCUGAUCAUGCUUUGCGCUCGAUUUUACUACAAGCAUGGUAAUUUCGUUUAGAACUUGAUGUAUACGAGGCGGCGCCAUGUUGAUUCAGAUGCGAAUUCUUUCGGUCGCGGAUUUGUUGUUUAGUUUCAUUCUUAAAGAGUUUAUUGAUAAAAAAGACCAGGAAACUUCACAAAAUACGAAUUGAAUUGUUGCAGUUUAAAAAUCGACCUGCUAGAGCAGACCGCUAGAUCAGCAGAUGCCGGGAGAGUUUCGGGAAGUGGAAAAGUUCUCACAACAACCCAAAACAGCGACAAUCAGGAUCAAUUAGAGUCAGCUGUGUAGGAUUCUCGAUCGCUCCGGUAAAUUCUAUCCACCGAAACUUAUGGCAUCGAUCGAGACGCUAGAAUGUCUGCUGAACAUUUACAAGAUGCUGGUGAUAGGUGCUGGUGGCCUGUGAACUGUUGAAAUAUCUGGCCCCAAUUAGUCAAUGUUUUUCGAUGCUGAAGUACUAAGAGGACGGAUCGGUCGAUAAAACUUUCAUGAUACCGCAGAUGGAUGGCAGAACCGAAGGAUUCAUGGCAGAACCGGACUGCGGAAAUGACGACACUCGAUAGACGCUGGAUUUGUUUUCUCCGCAGGUUUGUUUUUGUGGGACAUUUGAUUCUUGCAAUUAAUUAUCCUCUUAUAUUUCAAAUUUACAGAUAACUAAGACUGUUCUUCCACUUUUCCAAAACACUUCGUCACCGGAAUAUUGCAUCAAGCAUUCAUCUAUGCCAGUCGUCCUGUGGCCUAAUGAAAAUGCCUUUGGAAGGGACAUCGGACUGUAAAAUUAGAGUCUAUGACAUGCAGAACCUGUUCAGACUACAACGUGUCAAUCGAAAUCAAUCAAAUACGGUUCUCUAGCGGCAGAAAAACUAUGAAUAAAUUAUGGUGGAUUACAAGUUUAAGUUUUAAAAAAUUCAGAUGCUCUACUUGUUAAAAUAGCAGACAAAGUGUACUAAAUAAGUAUAUCAAUUAAUGUUUUCAAAUGACACAACAUAGAAAUAUGCUUGUUUAAUAUACUUGUUUUAUUUUAUCAAGUGGAGCAUUUACUCUAUGU